CACAAGAAAGUCAGUGUCCUACCUGAGCUGAAAUCUCACCAGGUGUUUUCCUGUCCGGUUCCCUGAUGACGCUGUGAUUAUAACCGCUAUUGAAGAUUUUCCCACACUCAGAGCUCUUGAAUGGUUUCUCUUCCAUUUGGAUAAUCCACGGAGUGAGGAAUCUGAUUGCGUCUUCAGUUCUGCAGUAUAUUUAUGUUGUUAUUCUCUGGUCUGGUCUCUCUGCCUAGAAUUAUGAAGCUUUUGGCUCUUUG